UAAUCUCAUGAGGUAACUCUGGA
rnacentral:miRNA from 1 species